rnacentral:rRNA from 1 species
GGUUAAGCGACUAAGCGUACACGGUGGAUGCCCUGGCAGUCAGAGGCGAUGAAGGACGUGCUAAUCUGCGAUAAGCGUCGGUAAGGUGAUAUGAACCGUUAUAACCGGCGAUUUCCGAAUGGGGAAACCCAGUGUGUUUCGACACACUAUCAUUAACUGAAUCCAUAGGUUAAUGAGGCGAACCGGGGGAACUGAAACAUCUAAGUACCCCGAGGAAAAGAAAUCAACCGAGAUUCCCCCAGUAGCGGCGAGCGAACGGGGAGCAGCCCAGAGCCUGAAUCAGUGUGUGUGUUAGUGGAAGCGUCUGGAAAGGCGCGCGAUACAGGGUGACAGCCCCGUACACAAAAAUGCACAUGCUGUGAGCUCGAUGAGUAGGGCGGGACACGUGGUAUCCUGUCUGAAUAUGGGGGGACCAUCCUCCAAGGCUAAAUACUCCUGACUGACCGAUAGUGAACCAGUACCGUGAGGGAAAGGCGAAAAGAACCCCGGCGAGGGGAGUGAAAAAGAACCUGAAACCGUGUACGUACAAGCAGUGGGAGCACGCUUAGGCGUGUGACUGCGUACCUUUUGUAUAAUGGGUCAGCGACUUAUAUUCUGUAGCAAGGUUAACCGAAUAGGGGAGCCGAAGGGAAACCGAGUCUUAACUGGGCGUUAAGUUGCAGGGUAUAGACCCGAAACCCGGUGAUCUAGCCAUGGGCAGGUUGAAGGUUGGGUAACACUAACUGGAGGACCGAACCGACUAAUGUUGAAAAAUUAGCGGAUGACUUGUGGCUGGGGGUGAAAGGCCAAUCAAACCGGGAGAUAGCUGGUUCUCCCCGAAAGCUAUUUAGGUAGCGCCUCGUGAAUUCAUCUCCGGGGGUAGAGCACUGUUUCGGCAAGGGGGUCAUCCCGACUUACCAACCCGAUGCAAACUGCGAAUACCGGAGAAUGUUAUCACGGGAGACACACGGCGGGUGCUAACGUCCGUCGUGAAGAGGGAAACAACCCAGACCGCCAGCUAAGGUCCCAAAGUCAUGGUUAAGUGGGAAACGAUGUGGGAAGGCCCAGACAGCCAGGAUGUUGGCUUAGAAGCAGCCAUCAUUUAAAGAAAGCGUAAUAGCUCACUGGUCGAGUCGGCCUGCGCGGAAGAUGUAACGGGGCUAAACCAUGCACCGAAGCUGCGGCAGCGACGCUUAUGCGUUGUUGGGUAGGGGAGCGUUCUGUAAGCCUGUGAAGGUGUGCUGUGAGGCAUGCUGGAGGUAUCAGAAGUGCGAAUGCUGACAUAAGUAACGAUAAAGCGGGUGAAAAGCCCGCUCGCCGGAAGACCAAGGGUUCCUGUCCAACGUUAAUCGGGGCAGGGUGAGUCGACCCCUAAGGCGAGGCCGAAAGGCGUAGUCGAUGGGAAACAGGUUAAUAUUCCUGUACUUGGUGUUACUGCGAAGGGGGGACGGAGAAGGCUAUGUUGGCCGGGCGACGGUUGUCCCGGUUUAAGCGUGUAGGCUGGUUUUCCAGGCAAAUCCGGAAAAUCAAGGCUGAGGCGUGAUGACGAGGCACUACGGUGCUGAAGCAACAAAUGCCCUGCUUCCAGGAAAAGCCUCUAAGCAUCAGGUAACAUCAAAUCGUACCCCAAACCGACACAGGUGGUCAGGUAGAGAAUACCAAGGCGCUUGAGAGAACUCGGGUGAAGGAACUAGGCAAAAUGGUGCCGUAACUUCGGGAGAAGGCACGCUGAUAUGUAGGUGAAGUCCCUCGCGGAUGGAGCUGAAAUCAGUCGAAGAUACCAGCUGGCUGCAACUGUUUAUUAAAAACACAGCACUGUGCAAACACGAAAGUGGACGUAUACGGUGUGACGCCUGCCCGGUGCCGGAAGGUUAAUUGAUGGGGUCAGCGCAAGCGAAGCUCUUGAUCGAAGCCCCGGUAAACGGCGGCCGUAACUAUAACGGUCCUAAGGUAGCGAAAUUCCUUGUCGGGUAAGUUCCGACCUGCACGAAUGGCGUAAUGAUGGCCAGGCUGUCUCCACCCGAGACUCAGUGAAAUUGAACUCGCUGUGAAGAUGCAGUGUACCCGCGGCAAGACGGAAAGACCCCGUGAACCUUUACUAUAGCUUGACACUGAACAUUGAGCCUUGAUG